AAUGGCUACCACAUCCAGGAAGGCAGCAGGCGCGCAAAUUACCCACUCUCAGCUCGAGGAGGUAGUGACGAAAAAUAACGAGACGGUUCUCUAUGAGGCCCGUCAUCGGAAUGGGUACAAUUUAAACCCUUUAACGAGGAUCUAUUGGAGGGCAAGUCUGGUGCCAGCAGCCGCGGUAAUUCCAGCUCCAAUAGCAUAUACCAAUUCUGUUGCUGUUAAAAAGCUCGUAGUUGGAUCGAUUCCGAGGAUGGAGUCUGCCUAAAUGGCAUGCACUUCACUCCAAGGAUGCUUUCGCUGGUUUUCUCAUGGUGCUCUUCAUUGGGUGCCUUGGGUGGCUAGCAUGUUUACUUUGAAAAAAUUAGAGUGCUCAAAACAGGCGUUACUGCCCGAAUAGUGGUGCAUGGAAUAAUGGAAUAGGAUCUCGGUUCUAUUUUGUUGGUUUUAGGAGCGCGAGAUAAUGAUUAAGAGGGACAGACGGGGGCAUUCGUACUGCGGCGUUAGAGGUGAAAUUCUUGGAUCGCCGCAUGACGAACAAUUGCGAAAGCAUUUGCCAAGAAUGUUUUCAUUAAUCAAGAACGAAAGUUAGAGGUUCGAAGGCGAUCAGAUACCGCCCUAGUUCUAACCGUAAACGAUGCCAAUUAGCGAUCUGCNGGCGUUAAUCAUGACCCAGCAGGCAGCUUCCCGGAAACGAAAAUCUUUCGGUUCAGGGGGAAGUAUGGUUGCAAAGCUGAAACUUAAAGGAAUUGACGGAAGGGCACCACCAGAUGUGGAGCCUGCGGCUUAAUUUGACUCAACACGGGAAAACUCACCCGGCCCGGACACUGUAAGGAUUGACAGAUUGAUAGCUCUUUCUUGAUUCAGUGGGUGGUGGUGCAUGGCCGUUCUUAGUUGGUGGAGCGAUUUGUCUGGUUAAUUCCGAUAACGAACGAGACUCUAGCCUGCUAAAUAGUCUGCAGAUCGCAUCGUCUGCAGUACUUCUUAGAGGGACAAGCGGCAUUUAGCCGCACGAAAAUGAGCAAUAACAGGUCUGUGAUGCCCUUAGAUGUCCGGGGCUGCACGCGCGCUACACUGAAGGAAUCAGCAUGCCUGUUUCCUUGUCUGAAAGGACUGGGUAACCCUUUGAAACUCCUUCGUGCUUGGGAUAGGGAAUUGUAAUUAUUUCCCUUGAACGAGGAAUAUCCAGUAAGUGUGGGUCAUAAGCUCGCGUUGAUUACGUCCCUGCCCUUUGUACACACCGCCCGUCGCUACGAGGGAGUGGACCAUUUACUGAAGUCUUUGGACUGGAUUGAUGUUGGUUUACUGAUGUCAUAUCAUGGAAAUUAGCCUUAAGUUGAUGG
rnacentral:rRNA from 1 species